rnacentral:rRNA from 1 species
UGGAUAAGACAUGCAAGUCGAACGAAAUUUUAUUGGUAGUAAUACUAAUAAAAUUUAGUGGCGAACGGGUGCGUAACACGUGAGUAAUCUGCCGAGAAGUGGGGGAUAGCUCGUCGAAAGGCGAAUUAAUACCGCAUGUGACUUGUGGGGACAUCUCUGCAAAGUUAAAGUCGCAAGACGCUUCUUGAUGAGCUCGCGGCCUAUCAGCUAGUUGGUGAGGUAAUGGCUCACCAAGGCGAUGACGGGUAGCUGGUCUGAGAGGACGACCAGCCACACUGGAACUGAGACACGGUCCAGACACCUACGGGUGGCAGCAGUCGAGAAUUUUUCACAAUGGGGGAAACCCUGAUGGAGCGACGCCGCGUGGAGGAUGAAGGCCCUUGGGUUGUAAACUCC